rnacentral:lncRNA from 1 species
UGGCAACCCAAAGAAUAGAAUAGUAGAGGUAAAGUCAUAUUUAGAAUCAAUAUUAGAGUCAAACAAAAGAUUAAACAAAAUCAACUUCGACGUGAAAUCCAUGUGGAUUAUUUGGCUUAGGUGACAACACCAUAGAUAAAUCCUCCUCCCUAUCAAAAAACUCAAUGGGAACAACAAUAGAAACAUUAUUAUCUUUACAAGAGUAACACAACUAGACUUGGGAGGUAGUUGUUGGGACUCGAGCGAUAGACCUAACCUAUGACAUAAUUAGCGAAGAUAGAACGAUUUGUACCAAAGAUUGGCCUGCUAAUGAGCGUCAUCUAUCGGAGUGCAGGAAUGUCAUCAAAUAAGAUUUCAAGAUUCAAAUCAUUAAGAAAUUUAGAUGAACUGUGCAAUAACUCUUCGAAGUA